GACGAACGCUGGCGGCGUGCUUAACACAUGCCAGUCGAACGGAAAGGCCCUGCUCUUGUGGGGCGCUCGAGUGGCGAACGGGUGAGUAACACGUGAGUAACCUGCCCUUGACUUUGUGAUAACUUCAGGAAACUGGGGCUCAUACCGGAUAGGAGCUCCUGCUGCACGGUGGGGGUUGGAAAGAUUCGGCGGUUGGGGAUGGACUCGCGGCUUAUCAGCUUGUUGGGGUGGUAGUGGCUUACCAAGGCUUUGACGGGUAGCCGGCCUGGGAGGGUGACCGGGCACAAUGGGACUGCGAGACGGACCAGAAUCCUACGGGAGGCAGCAGGGGGGAAUAUUGCGCAAUGGGCGGAAGCCUGAUGCAGCAACGCCGCGUGCGGGAUGACGGCCUUCGAGUGGUAAACAGCUUUCGCCUGUGACAAGGCGUGAGUGACGGUAAUGGGUAAGGAAGCACCGGCUAACUACGUG
rnacentral:rRNA from 1 species